rnacentral:rRNA from 1 species
UACGUAGGUGGCAAGCGUUGUCCGGAAUUAUUGGGCGUAAAGCGCGCGCAGGCGGUCCUUAAGUCUGAUGUGAAAGCCCACGGCUCAACCGUGGAGGGUCAUUGGAAACUGGUGGACUUGAGUGCAGAAGAGGAAAGUGGAAUUCCAUGUGUAGCGGUGAAAUGCGUAGAGAUGUGGAGGAACACCAGUGGCGAAGGCGACUUUCUGGUCUGUAACUGACGCUGAGGCGCGAAAGCGUGGGGAGCAAACAGG